rnacentral:rRNA from 1 species
CCUACGGGUGGCAGCAGUGAGGAAUAUUGGUCAAUGGGCGCGAGCCUGAACCAGCCAAGUCGCGUGAGGGAAGACGGUCCUAUGGAUUGUAAACCUCUUUUGUCGGGGAGCAAAAGACGCCACGCGUGGCGUUCCGAGAGUACCCGAAGAAAAAGCAUCGGCUAACUCCGUGCCAGCAGCCGCGGUAAUACUGAGGAUGCGAGCGUUAUUCGGAUUUAUUGGGUUUAAAGGGUGAGCAGGCGGAAGAUCGAGUCAGGGGUACAAUUGAGAUGCUAAACCUCUUCUAGACGUUGAAACUGUUUUUCUUGAGUGAGUGAGAAGUAUGCGGAAUGCGUGGUGUAGCGGUGAAAUGCAUAGAUAUCACGCAGAACUCAGAUUGCGAAGGCAGCAUAUCGGCGCUCAACUGACGCUCAUGCACGAAAGUGUGGGUAUCGAACAGGAUUAGAUACCCGGUAGUC